rnacentral:rRNA from 1 species
AGCGAACGCUGGCGGCAGGCUUAACACAUGCAAGUCGAACGGGCACUUCGGCGUCAGUGGCAGACGGGUGAGUAACACGUGGGAACGUACCUUUUGGUUCGGAACAACUGAGGGAAACUUCAGCUAAUACCGGAUAAGCCCUCACGGGGAAAGAUUUAUCGCCGAAAGAUCGGCCCGCGUCUGAUUAGCUAGUUGGUAGGGUAAUGGCCUACCAAGGCGACGAUCAGUAGCUGGUCUGAGAGGAUGAUCAGCCACAUUGGGACUGAGACACGGCCCAAACUCCUACGGGAGGCAGCAGUGGGGAAUAUUGGACAAUGGGGGCAACCCUGAUCCAGCCAUGCCGCGUGAGUGAUGAAGGCCCUAGGGUUGUAAAGCUCUUUUGUGCGGGAAGAUAAUGACGGUACCGCAAGAAUAAGCCCCGGCUAACUUCGUGCCAGCCGCCGCAGUAA